UACGUAGGGGGCUAGCGUUGUCCGGAAUCAUUGGGCGUAAAGAGCGUGUAGGCGGUUCGGUAAGUCCGCUGUGAAAGCCCAGGGCUUAACCCUGGAAUUGCACCUCAAACUACAUGGCUAGAGCAUUGGAGAGGGAAGCGGAAUUCACGGUGUAGCAGUGAAAUGCGUAGAUAUCGUGAGGAACACCAGAGGCGAAGGCGGCUUCCUGGACAAUUGCUGACGCUCAGGCACGAAAGCGUGGGGAGCAAAAGGG
rnacentral:rRNA from 1 species